GAUGAACGCUGGCGGCGUGCCUAAUACAUGCAAGUCGAGCGAAUGGAUUAAGAGCUUGCUCUUAUGAAGUUAGCGGCGGACGGGUGAGUAACACGUUGGUAACCUGCCCAUAAGACUGGGAUAACUCCGGGAAACCGGGGCUAAUACCGGAUAACAUUUUGAACCGCAUGGUUCGAAAUUGAAAGGCGGCUUCGGCUGUCACUUAUGGAUGGACGCGCGUCGCAUUAGCUAGUUGGUGAGGGAACGGAUCACCAAAGCAACGAUGCGUAGCCGACCUGAGAGGGUGAUCGGCCACACUGGGACUGAGACACGGCCCAGACUCCUACGGGAGGCAGCAGUAGGGAAUCUUCCGCAAUGGACGAAAGUCUGACGGAGCAACGCCGCGUGAGUGAUGAAGGCUUUCGGGUCGUAAAACUCUGUUGUUAGGGAAGAACAAGUGCUAGUUGAAUAAGCUGGCACCUUGACGGUACCUAACCAGAAAGCCACGGCUAACUACGUGCCAGCCGCCGCCGUAA
rnacentral:rRNA from 1 species